UACGGAGGGUGCAAGCGUUAUCCGGAAUCACUGGGUUUAAAGGGUGCGUAGGCGGUCAGAUAAGUCAGUUGUGAAAUACCCCGGCUUAACCGGCGGAACUGCGAUUGAUACUGUUUGACUUGAAUCAGGUUGAGGUAGGCGGAAUGUGGCAUGUAGCGGUGAAAUGCUUAGAUAUGCCAUAGAACACCGAUUGCGAAGGCAGCUUGCUGGACCUGUAUUGACGCUGAGGCACGAAAGCGUGGGGAGCAAA
rnacentral:rRNA from 1 species